UCUUUUAAUAAUAUAGAUUAUCAUCGUACACGUUCACAACAUAAAAUAGAUAAAUUAUCAUAAAAUGAACGUAAUAGUAGACGUUUUAUGGAAAAAUGGUUGAUUAGUUUCUCAACUUAGAAACAUAUCGUCUUUGUUUUUUUAUUUGUCGACUUUCAUUACAUUAAGCCUUUCAGGGUUUUGAAACAUGAGUACAAAGAUAGUUAUAGAGUAACCAGCCCAACACAAAGAUAAGUACAACAUCGCUUAUGUACUAAAUCACAGGUCAUCUAGCAAAUAAAAUUCUCAUACAUAGAUUUGAUUUACAAAAACUAAAAAAUAUAAUUGUUCGAAAAUUUUAUUCAUCCCCUAUUUUUUGCAAUUCAAACUAUCUAUUCCUAUUUUUUUUUCAGAAUUUAGAUCCCACGUUUUGAUCAACUUUUCCAUUAUUAAACUGCUUUUUGUUGUUUGGACUAUUGGGGCUUUGUGGUUGUGUAAAGCUUUGAAAGGCAAAAAAUUGCCAAUCAGUUUUUUAGGUUUUAGAAAACUGUUUUUUGUUCACUGUUUUCAACAGCCCCUUUUUAAGGCUUUAAAGCCAUUUUUUCUUCAUUUUUUUGUAAAAAAUAUGGAUGACUAUUUUUUUUUGUAUUUUGUUCAUUUUUGACCAAAAUAAAGAAAACAAUAAGUAUAAUAAUUAGUUAAUUAAUUAUUAUUAAUUAUUUAGGUUUUUAACAUCAAGAAAAAGUUAUAACCUACUAUUAUUAGACAUUAGUUUAUUAAAACAUAGAUAUUAUUAUAAAGGUAAUUGAAAACACUUACAAUUGAUUCAAAACCAAAAAAAAAAAAAAAAAAAUUAAAUACUAUUUUAAGAAUAUUUUUUCAGUAUAAAUACAAGAAGAAAACUCAUUUCAUCAAACACAUGAGGAAGAACUUCCAAAUACGAUUCAAGACAAUACAUGGAAGGUGUUCGAGAUGAGAUUGCAAACAACAUAUGGGUUAGGAUUCGUUAGAUUUUAAUAAUUUUUUUAAUAAAUUGUAAUCUUAUUUAAAUUAAUAAAGAAAAAUCGUUAGAAUAAAUAAAUUAAAUAUAUUUGUUGCUAUUGAUAAAUAAAAAGUAGAUAGAAAAAAAAAGUAAUACAUUUUGGAAAUGAAUGUGAAAUAUAUAUUUAUAACAGUUACAUCUUCUAAAGCUUUUGAUGUCAAUCAAGUUUUUUUAAAAACAGCCACAACUUUUAAAGCCAAAUUCUCUACAACCGUAUUUCUGUAGUCAAAGCCUAAACGAAAACCCUUACCAAUCGGAUCCAUAAUCCGCAAUCAUCAUCAAGCUCCACCAUAUUAUUCUUCAUUUUUCUCUAUACAAAGUUUCAAAUAUAUUUUUAAUGCAUUUCUUCUUAUUCUCACUGUUUCACUUCACCAUACUAGGCCUACGAGAGCCUAAAUACCAAGUAUACUCUGGUGUCUAAAGUUAUGAAAUAAUUGGAAACAAAAAAUUCAACAAAUAAGGUAACAAAGUAUUUCUCAACUUCUUUUCUCUAUAAAAUGUUUGCAUAUCUGUUUUAUGACUUAUCUUUAGGAAAACUUUGUUACCUAUUUCACUAAUAGUUACAGAUGGAGAAAACAUUUUUAAAACAAAAUAUUUUAGCCAUUAAUAAGAAACAAAACAGAAAUGAAAGAUAAAAGAGAAAAUUGAAAAAAGGAGACACUCUCGAUUUGGAUUUGUCCCAAUAGGACUUGUAGAAGAUUAUUUAGUUAAGUAGAAUUUAUAUUUCCUUUAAUACCAUUAUACCCUUCAAGUAACCAAAUUAAUCUUAAUAUUUCAUUCAAUGGAAUCACUUGCAAAUCGAAUGCUGCUUGGAAGCCGGGAAUCUUGGCAGCGGGGCUUGCUUGGGGAUUGUAUAACCCCGAUGGAGAGAUGAUCACAUCUCACAGCAAAUCAAUCUCAUUCGUGAAUUCGUCCCUCGUGGCUGAGGGUCUAGCGAUGAGGGAGGCAAUAUAAUGCAACACGCUUUGUCUCUGGGUUACAACAGUGUGAACUUCGAAUCGAACUCCUGGUGGCAGCUAUUGCAGAAGGAUUCUGCUACUCGGAGAUUCAUGGAAUUGUAGCUGAUAUCACCCUUUUGGCAAGAUCCAUGGAGUUUGUAUCUUUUAGGUCUUGCAAUCGCAACUCUGUUUCUUUUGAGGAUGGUUUAGCUAAACAGAGACUUGGUUCUCUUGUACCAGAUUCUGAUUAAUUUCCAUAAAAAAUCAUCGGUUUGACAAAAAAAAUCUUAAUAUUUCGUAAUUGAUUUUUAUAAAAAAUCAUCGGUAUGACACGAAUCAACGAAUUUGAGAUUUGUUCUUCCUCUACGGGUUUAUGAUACUCAUGAACCCUAAUAUCUUCCUGAACCCUAAUUUCUUCCCACACAGGAAACAAAUUCGAUUCGGAGCUUCAUUGAUUGAAGAACGUGUGAGUGACCAUGCUCGUCAGUUUCUACAUCGGAUUCAUAGGUUUUCUUAGAUUCUUUAGCGGUGUUUAUAUUCACGUUAGUUCCAGGUUUAAUUUUAUUGCUUGUUCUAUGCUGAAGUUUAUAUGCACGAUUAGUCUCUAUUUCAUUAAGCAUAGUUAGUUUCUGAGUUGUUGAUUUCUAUAUGUGAUGUUGCCUUGUUUAGAGGUUCGUUAUCACUGAAUUCAUCUUUGAGUAACCUGCGUAGUUCAUAAGUCUAGAGAUUCGUCAUCUCUCAGUCAUACCAGUUGCAAAGAUUAGAGAUGUUGCUUGGAACAUGCGGCCUCUGUUGCAAAAACGUUCUGGAUGUUUGACUGUGUGGUUGUUGAGACUAAGGAGCCAAAACUGAUUCCUGCUGGUAACCCAAUGGACAAUUCAGGAUAUGGAUACUGAGAUAGACCAGCCGGAUUUACUCUUGAAGAUGAGAGAUAAAUGAACAUUCCAGAACGAGAGUAGCUCACCUACAUAUUACUUAGCUUGCAAAAAAACGUUGAUGUGCUAAGUGUAAUGAUUUUUUGAACCAGAGCAUAAUGUGUUAAAAGUAUACAGGAGUAACAUUGUUGUAAGUUAUCAUAUCUUAAGUCUAACAUGUAAUCAUAAUCCUAUGUAUUUAUCAAAUUUGUCCCCAAAAGAAGCUCAUAAGACA